CGGCCGCCGCCGCGUUCAGGGCCGCCUCGGAAAAGUCAGCAGCGACAACGGAGCACACGUGUAGCAGAAGUCAGGCAAGAUGAUCAAGAGAUUAAAGAUGAUCCACGUCUUUGCCGACCUUUGAAUUAGCCGGGAGGCGGGAGAAGUAGGUCUACCAACAUGGCGCUUCAUGAACCUGUGGGUGACGUCGCGGACACGCCGUCCAUCCUUUGUACUGUCAGCGGUAAGCACGCACAUUUGUAAAGGUGUUGCAGUCAACACGUGUAUUAUCAGGUAUUAUCAGGUUUUGUGGUGUUGAAUGUCAGGUUUUGCUUCCAGACGUGUCAGAGGUGAAGAAACAUGUCACCCGUUCACAUGACACGGUGUAAACGGAGUUCUGGCUGCGUUUGUGCUGAGUCACCGAGAAGCCAUUAAUCUUUAACUAAAGGCAAACCAAGACGAGGCAGGCCGACGUGCAGAGUGAGCCAGAGCUUUACCAAUAAAUACCUUCUGACAGUUUCAGACAAGACUUUGGGAUUUUUUUAUUGGAGCGCUGCAUGUUUCAGAACACGA